rnacentral:lncRNA from 1 species
CAAAAUGUAUUAUUAUAAAUCAAUUCAAAUGAACACAUGCUUGUUACGGGAGGAGCUGAAUUGCAGCACCUCUGUAGAAAGCUAAUUAGAGCUGAUUAACAACAGCUGUGCCACCUGCAUGAGAGGCUUUUUCAGACCCAGUGUGUGGCACAGGUAGCACUUCCUGUUGGUGACUGAUGCAAUGGGAGCUAUGUGGGCCUUCGUCGUUUGUGUCCUGACUGUUUGGCUUGCCAAAGGGUCUUGUUUGCCAGUUGAUGGGACAAAUAAAGGGAAUGAUCAGAGGAAGAUGGAAGAUUUGCCUCUCAGUGAAUUCUUAUUAAAGGGGGCCAUUGCACUUCUCCAGGCAAUGGAGUCCAUGUUGGAGCAAGAUGUUAAAGGUACGGCCAUGGACUGCGGCACCUUCCCUGUUGUGGCUGGCGGUGGCUGCAGCAACAACGGCAGCCACAGCGCUGCCGACGGUGGCGGCGGCAGCAACAACGGAAGCCACAGCGCUGCCGACGGUAGCGGCGGCAGCAACAACGGAAGCCACAGCGCUGCCGACGGUAGCGGCGGCAGCAACAACGGAAGCCACAGCGCUGCCGACAGUAGCGGUGGCAGCAACAAUGGCAGCAGUGCUGCCGACGGCGGCGGCAACUAUGGCAGCAUCUUCCCCGGCGGCGGCAACUAUGGCGUCAUCUUCCCCGCAACUGUGGCGGCCGGUGGCAACGGCGUCAUCUUCCCCGCAACUGAGGCGGCCGGUGGCAACGGCGUCAUCUUCCCCGCAACUGAGGCGGCCGGUGGCAACGGCGUCAUCUUCCCCGCAACUGAGGCGGCUGGUGGCAACGGCGUCAUCUUCCCCGCAACUGUUGCGGGUGGUGGCAAUCGGCCACAGCAGUAGCGCGGCCGUCACUAGUGAACCCCAGAGCUGAUAACAAAACUCCUGUAACCACACUGCUAAAGUAGGGAAUAGUUUGCGGAAUCAUGCAAGAGUUCAGUUGAAGCCAUUUCUGUAUGUCCCAAGUUUUCUGCUUUAAAUAAAACUCUUAACUGAUACGUUUCCCUAUUUCUUCUUUCCCAGAUAAGGGUUAAAAGACCCUUAAAGAUUUAAAUUAUGACAAGUGCGACUGCUUGAGUACUUUGUACGUUUGCGUAGAUUGUGCCGCUUUUCUGGUCAGUUUCUGGAGAGCAGUUUGCAGCAUUAACACACUGACCGGGUAAGUAACAGUG